UACAGAGGUGUCAAACGUUGUCCGGAAUUACUGGGCGUAAAGGGCGCGUAGGCGGCCUUAUAAGUCAUUUGUGAAAGCUCUGGGCUCAACCCAGGAAUUGCAAGUGAUACUGUAAGGCUUGAGUUCGGUAGAGGAGGGCGGAAUUCCAGGUGUAGCGGUGAAAUGCGUAGAUAUCUGGAGGAACACCCGUGGCGAAGGCGGCUCUCUGGUCCGAAACUGACGCUGAGGUGCGAAAGCUAGGGUAGCAAACAGG
rnacentral:rRNA from 1 species